rnacentral:rRNA from 1 species
GGGGAGGCUACAUGCAAGUCGAACGGAGACGGAGCUGGAAGGGAAGUUUACUGUAACGGAAAGAUCUGUCUUAGUGGCGGACGGGUGAGUAACGCAUGGGCAACCUGCCCUGUACCGGGGGAUAACACUUAGAAAUAGGUGCUAAUACCGCAUAAUAGGGAAUACCGCAUGGUAAUCCUUUGAAAACUCCGGUGGUACAGGAUGGGCCCGCGUCUGAUUAGCCAGUUGGCGGGGUAACGGCCCACCAAAGCGACGAUCAGCAGCCGGCCUGAGGGGGUGGACGGCCACACUGGGACUGAGACACGGCCCAGACUCCUACGGGAGGCAGCAGUGGGGAAUAUUGCACAAUGGGGGGAACCCUGAUGCAGCGACGCCGCGUGAGUGAAGAAGUAUUUCGGUAUGUAAAGCUCUGUCAGCAGGGAAGAAGAAAGACGGUACCUGACCAAGAAGCCCCGGCUAACUACGUGCCAGCAGCCGCGGUAAUACGUAGGGGGCAAGCGUUAUCCGGAUUUACUGGGUGUAAGGGAGCGUAGACGGCAGGGCAAGUCUGGAGUGAAGGCAGGGGCCCAACCCCUGGACUGCUCUGGAAACUGUCCGGCUGGAGUGCAGGAGAGGUAAGUGGAAUUCCUAGUGUAGCGGUGAAAUGCGUAGAUAUUAGGAGGAACACCAGUGGCGAAGGCGGCCGCCUGGCCUGUUGCUGACGCUGAGGCACGAAAGCGUGGGGAGCAAAUAGGAUUAGAUACCCUAGUA